rnacentral:tRNA from 1 species
GGUGGCUCAGUGGUAGAGCACUUGCCUUGCAUGCAAGAAGCCCUGAGUUCGAUUCCUCAGCACCA